UACGUAGGGGGCAAGCGUUGUCCGGAUUUAUUGGGCGUAAAGAGUUCGUAGGUGGUUUGUUAAGUCUGAUGUAAAAGACUGGGGCUCAACCUCGGGACUGCAUUGGAUACUGGCAGACUUGAGUGCGGUAGAGGCAAGUGGAAUUCCAGGUGUAGCGGUGAAAUGCGUAGAUAUCUGGAAGAACACCGGUGGCGCAAGCGACUUGCUGGGCCGUAACUGACACUGAGGAACGAAAGCUAGGGGAGCGAAUGGG
rnacentral:rRNA from 1 species